rnacentral:rRNA from 1 species
UACAGAGGGUGCAAGCGUUAAUCGGAGUUACUGGGCGUAAAGGGCGCGUAGGUGGUUGUGUAAGUGAGAUGUGAAAUCCCUGGGCUUAACCUAGGAACUGCAUCUUAUACUGCAUAACUGGAGUACUGUAGAGGGUAGUGGAAUUUCCGGUGUAGCGGUGAAAUGCGUAGAGAUCGGAAGGAACACCGGUGGCGAAGGCGGGUCUCUGGGCCGAUACUGACGCUGAGGAGCGAAAGCGUGGGGAGCGAACAGG